UACGCAAGAAACUAGUGUAGCAACCCCCCCCCCCCCCAAUCCUUCGAUUUGUCCAUAUAGUUCCAGUUGCAAUUUAAAUGCAGCAAAGAGGAAAUAAAGAAAAACAAAUACUUGGAAUAAUUAUAUGACCCGUCAAAAAAGUUGGAGAAUCCUGAACUGCUCCACCUCCAUCAGAUUCUUCUCUGCUCUGGAUCAUUCGCAUAAAAUGUACUUAGACUAUCAGUAUCAACUUCCCUUCCUCUUGUGCUAUUUUUAGGAAUUAUCUUCAUCAAAUAAAAUGAUUGCUUUGCCAUGAAUGGGUCAUGUAUAAGCCGAGCCUGGUUCUGAAGUACCCUCAAAACUUGGAUGAUUUUUUCCCUAAAUACAAUCUAAGUACUGGGAAACAUAAGAAUCAAUUUUCAACGUCCAUCAUGAUAUCCUCGUUGGCAUACUUCAAGAUGAUCCAUUCUGCACACUUGGCUUCAAAUGUGGUUUCAAUGUUGCUUAACUCUCUCUCCGUCACAUCAGACUUGACUCUAAAGACUCCAUAGUUUUCUUCAAAAUUGGUACAACUGCUACUGUAUUGCAGCUCGGAUCCGGUGGGAAUGGACAUUGAAUAUUUACGACUUGACCGUUGUCCACCCUCAUCCACAAAAUCAUUGUCGAUUUCAGGUACUUUACUGUUUAUCAGCAUGAACUUGGGCUCACCUGCUACUUUGAUAAAGUCAGGUAUCCAUUCAGAGACGGAAAUUGUAUCUUGACAUGCUUUCGACAGUGUUUCCGUUUCUGCUGAAUAUUCAGGAUUAACUGCAGUUUCAACACACUCUCUUAAUCUUAGAUGUUUUCUAAAAAGUUUCUUCAUCUGAAACUGGGCUGAACAAAAGUUACAAAUGUAUUUGUUCUGAGAAUGACAGUCUUUUAGAUGUCUAUUAACAGAGUUUUUAAAAGUAAAUUUACUGGGACAAAUCGGGCAUUCAAAUCUCUUUUUAUUGUUGUCAAUCAGUCUUAUUGAUUUUUGUUUACAUGAAUUGCCUUCAAUAUGUGCCUGCAAUAUCCCUUUUUCCUUAAAUUUUUUAGAACACUUAGCACAAGUAAAGCGGUCUCCACUGAAGUGUGACUGCAAGUGUUUCUUCAGUCUCUUUUCUCAUUAAAGUUAGCAAGACAUACCAUACAAACGAACCGGUCUUCUUCAUGUGUUUGUAAGUGUAGUUUGAGGGUGCUUUCUUGAAAAAAUAUUCGAGGGCAUAGUUCACAGCUAAAACUUUUCGGUUCAGAAUGCACACUUCUGAGAUGGCUUAACAAAUCAGCACUCUGAGUGAAUCUAGAGACGCAAAGAUGGCAUGUGAAGGGACUUUCCUCAAGACCUUGGCACUGAUUUUGGUGAGAAGCUGUUAAUAACUUGACUGGGUCUCUAGGAUUAGAGGAAGAAUGUUGUUCCUCAGGACUCUGAGACUGAUUUUGACAAGGGGCUGUCAAUAAUCCAACUUGGUCACUAGGAGUGAAAGAAGUAUCAUUUGGGACAUUUUGAACAUCCAGGGGCUUCUCUUCUGGUUCAUCUUGUGAAUGCAUUUGCGAGUGAUCUUUAAGGCUUCUCUCACAUUUCAUUUUAGAGGGACAGAGCACACAAGAGAAGAGCUUUUCUUCAAUAUGCCCGGGUGCAUGUCUUUGGUAAUCAAUCGCUUCAUUUUUAUUGUGUAAAAGAAGAUGCUCUUCAAUUACUUUCUUACACUCAGAUUGUUUUGGGCGAUAAGGACAAGUGAGUAAGAGUUUUUUGGGAGAGCAGCUCCUUUCAGAAUUUGAUUCCUCUCCUUUGCAGUCUACUAUGGCGUCUGUCUCCUGACUUAAUCCAUUCAUUUUCUUAUGCACGACUGAAUGGCAGUGCAGAGCCCGGAAGGUUCUAAACUUGAGCGAACAAUCUGGGCAACAAUGUCGAUUUUCAUCUUGAGUGAGGCACACACUAUCUUGCUUACCGUUUAAAGUUGGCUUUAACUUUGAUUCAGUAAUAGUAACAGGAUCUUCCAGACCAUCAGAUUCUUUAAUUUCUACUCUUCUUCCAAGGUUAACUCUAACUUCUUUCAGCAACAUUAACUGCUUAGAUUCUGAGCUAGUGGAAGAGCUUUCAGUAGCACUAGCUUUAUGUCUUUCUAAGUGUUUGUGAAAACAUUUUAAAUAUCGAAAUUUUAGAGGACAAUCCGAACAGUGAUAAAACUUGUUCUCAGGAUACAUUUUGAAUCUGGUUUCCUCAGGGAAAUUUUUUAUUUCUGGCUCCUCAAGACCGGAAUUAAAGUUAUGUGUGUGCUGUUUAGAAUGUCUGUAUAAGUCUUCCACUAGGCUAAACUUACGGGGACAUUCAAUGCAGCAGUAUGCCUUAAUAUUAAUGUUCAGUUGAUGUUCUUGAGAUUCCUUUGAAUACUGACACAGCUGUGAAUGAUCUAAAGAAGGUAAUUUUCUCUUCUUGUAGGUGCAUUCAGGCUGGAAUGGUGAACUUUGUCCCACUGCAUUAAAGGAAUUGGAGUGUUCUCGUAAGUGUUGCUGCAAGUCUUUUAAAAAUCGAAACUUCAUUACGCACUCUUCACAAGCAUACUGGUUACGAUAGGACUGCUUUUCCAGCCUUCUCAAACCUCUCUUGCGACUUGAUUCAACAAUAUCACUUGCAGGAGGAGAAUCAUUAACGCGAUGUUCACCUUCAAUCGGAGACUUAUUCUCAACAGUCACUUCCUCCUUUUCAAGACUAAAAAAUGUAUCUUUAGUCAAUGGUGAAAAGUGGCCUACAUCAUUAUCACCUCCAAUUUCUUUUACCUUCAUACAUAAAAUACUCUGAGGAGAAGUAAUAGCUCCAAAGAGCCUGGGGCAGUAUCAGGACUAGAUUUACUUUCCAAAAUCACUUCCUUCAGAGACACAUUUUCACCAUGUACUGUGAAAAUAGUUUUGCUCAUCUUCGUUUCUUCUGUUUCAUUAUUCCUUGUGUCAACUGUAUCAUUGACUGUGUAGUCUGCGUGGUUGAUUUUUUCCUGCCCAGCAUUUGAUGGUAAUCUAGGAAUAUCUUUAAUCAAACUUUGAUCUUUAAAGCUUUCUUCAAUUUCUAUUACAUCAUAUUUUCUUAACUCAGUAUGCUUACCAGAUACAAAACUGAAAUUUUGUCUGUUGUUGAUCCGUUCCAGAAUGAUUUUUGGAGUUUGAAGGUUUCUGAAGAAUGAGAGAUCAGGCUUUUUCUUCACAAUGUUCUCAAGUAUCAUAGGUUUAGGAUACAGCUGACUAGCUUCCGAAAUUCCCACUUUAGUCAUUGCCAUGGUUGGAACCUGUCAAUCAAAUUAAAAAUGAAAUUAUGUUCUAUAAAUGAGCUAUUCAAUGUUGUUU
rnacentral:lncRNA from 1 species